AUUGAACGCUGGCGGCAGGCUUAACACAUGCAAGUCGAGCGGGGUGAUGGUGCUUGCACUAUCACUUAGCGGCGGACGGGUGAGUAAUGCUUAGGAAUCUGCCUAUUAGUGGGGGACAACAUCUCGAAAGGGAUGCUAAUACCGCAUACGUCCUACGGGAGAAAGCAGGGGAUCACUUGUGACCUUGCGCUAAUAGAUGAGCCUAAGUCGGAUUAGCUAGUUGGUGGGGUAAAGGCCUACCAAGGCGACGAUCUGUAGCGGGUCUGAGAGGAUGAUCCGCCACACUGGGACUGAGACACGGCCCAGACUCCUACGGGAGGCAGCAGUGGGGAGAUUGGACAAUGGGGGGAACCCUGAUCCAGCCAUGCCGCGUGUGUGAAGAAGGCCUUAUGGUUGUAAAGCACUUUAAGCGAGGAGGAGGCUCUUUUGGUUAAUACCCAAGAUGAGUGGACGUUACUCGCAGAAUAAGCACCGGCUAACUCUGUGCCAGCCGCCGCAGUAA
rnacentral:rRNA from 1 species